CUUUACAGCUGAAAGUUGCUCUUUUUGUUGUUUUUCUUGUGGCGGAUAUCUGCGACUGUUCUAAAGAGACAGAAAAUACUCCAUCUGAAAUAAAAGAAGAAAAGUGACAAUGCGGUUCAUUCAAAUCACCAUGAUAAAAUGCUGCAUCAGCCAGACACCCGUAACCGAAUACUCACAUAUAAGAGAACCAAAAAAAAUGAAAGAACACCAGAGCAUAAUUUUGUCUUAACUUCAAAACCAACGGUUGGAACAGAAACCCCAGAAUUGUUGUGCACCAGCAAUUGGAUAUCCAUAUGCUGUUCGAGGAAAUGACGCUGAUGUGAUUUUACCCAAUACUAGGCGAACGCAUUGCACCUUUGGAACUUCAGUAAAACAUACCCGCGUCUCUAACUCCCCUACAGUUUUGCGUCGGCUAGAAAUCUGCCCAGUGCUCUGAGCUUCUCAGAAAGCACGUGCUGAAUGAAUUCAUCUGCACCAGGAAGGCCCUUUAUCCGGUAUCUGCAGUCUGUGAAGGACGUCGCGCUACAGGAGCGCUGUCCGUGGUCCUGAAUAAUAGGAGGUGGAAUAUUCCAUUUGAAAGAAAACCAGAUUCAGAAAUACAGACAUUAUCAAAUCUUAAACAUAGUGUUUGACUGCAGAACAGCCCUGACCAUGAGAUUGAAAAGCAUGCAGCAACAACGCGAAGAACAGCACCACACAGUCCUAUUCUCUGAAGAUGGGAGACUGAAGGAGGCAGUGGUAGUGGGGGACAGCGUUACCGUGUUCUGUCAGGCUGACACCAUACUAGAUGCCAUAGCUGUCUUACUAGCAGUCUACUAUGUUUUUGAUUUCAGCUAUCCAAAAAUGUAUUCCCAGUUUCUGGGACUGUCACAAACAUAUCUAGGUGACAAAUCAAAAAAAAUAUGUGUUCUUUCUUAAAACACUUUGUAAAACAAUGAAAGGAACAUAGCUUUAUUGAAUCAGUCUGCGGAUUUAAUUUUUUUUUUUAAAGUAUCUGUUUCAAGAGUAAUCAGUUCAGUUGAAGUUUGUGUUUAUAAUGUUUAACCAACAAAAGUAUGACUAUAUGUGUUUAUUUUUUGUUUAAAUAAAUUAAUUAUUUGAAUAUUUAUUUAUUUAUUUAUUUAUUUAUUUAUUUAUUUAUUUAUUUAUUUAUGGUGUUUGC